ACUUUCAGCGAGGAAGAACGCCUAGCGGUUAAUACCCGCUAGGAAAGACAUCACUCGCAGAAGAAGCACCGGCUAACUCCGUGCCAGCAGCCGCGGUAAUACGGAGGGUGCAAGCGUUAAUCGGAAUUACUGGGCGUAAAGCGCGCGUAGGUGGCUUGAUAAGCCGGUUGUGAAAGCCCCGGGCUCAACCUGGGAACGGCAUCCGGAACUGUCAAGCUAGAGUGCAGGAGAGGAAGGUAGAAUUCCCGGUGUAGCGGUGAAAUGCGUAGAGAUCGGGAGGAAUACCAGUGGCGAAGGCGGCCUUCUGGACUGACACUGACACUGAGGUGCGAAAGCGUGGGUAGCAAACAGGAUUAGAUACCCUGGUAGUCCACGCCGUAAACGAUGUCGACCAGCCGUUGGGUGCCUAGCGCACUUUGUGGCGAAGUUAACGCGAUAAGUCGACCGCCUGGGGAGUACGGCCGCAAGGUUAAAACUCAAAUGAAUUGACGGGGGCCCGCACAAGCGGUGGAGCAUGUGGUUUAAUUCGAUGCAACGCGAAGAACCUUACCUACUCUUGACAUCCUGCGAAUUUGGUAGAGAUACCUUAGUGCCUUCGGGAACGCAGAGACAGGUGCUGCAUGGCUGUCGUCAGCUCGUGUUGUGAAAUGUUGGGUUAAGUCCCGUAACGAGCGCAACCCUUGUCCUUAUUUGCCAGCGCGUAAUGGCGGGAACUCUAAGGAGACUGCCGGUGACAAACC
rnacentral:rRNA from 1 species